GGCGAGAUGGCAGAGCGGCCGAAUGCGGGCGCCUUGAAAGCGUCUGAGGUGAAAGCCUCCGGGGGUUCAAAUCCCUCUCUCGCCG
rnacentral:tRNA from 1 species